UGUUAAGAGGGAUAGGUGAGGGUUGGGGGGAUCGAGGUUAAAGUACUUUCAAGAGAUGCUGCAGGUGGGGGAGGGGACACACAGGCUACUAUUUGUGGCUGGGACAGAAAAAGAAAGUUUGAUGGAUUUGUCCCCUGCCCCACUCCCUUUUUAAAGUUCCAAAGCUGGAGACAGAUGGGCUGACUACACUUAUCUCUUAACAGAGGGAGUCCAAGUUGUUGAGACUGGUUUUUCUUUCAACCGGAUACCUGAGGGGUGGAGCAGGCGCCCCCCAGUCCUGUCCCCGCAACCUAUUAAAGUCUUCCGAACCGGAAAAUGACAGAUGCCUGAAGGCUGUAGUUGCUGCUGGAAUUGCUGUUGCUGAACUGUGGCUAUGGGGCACGCUGCACCUGAAGAAACUCUCCGAAAAUCCAGCAAAUUGUUAAACCACCUGUUUCCAGUCUCGGCUUCUCCAGUGCUAUUAUUUCAGGUGCAGAAAUAGCUGAGGAAUCCCUGGCAGAGACACAGAACAAACUUCUUUCUCCACAGUGGUUCCAUCAAUAGUCAAGGUUCUCACAGGAUGCAGUCCUGAACCCAUUUGGGGUGGGGCGGAUUAUCCUCAGCAACUAGGCUCAGAGGACAAGGAGGCAGUAAGAGGUGAUAGAGAUUGAUUCCAACCUUCCAAUUUUUAUAGAUGAGAAAACUCAUCUUGAGGCUCAAAGGGAUUAAGAAAAAGACACAAUGUUGGAAACUGCAGGAAGAAACAGAAUAUAUAGCAAGGGACAGUCAGGGGGGAGGAGUAGAAUCUGGGGAUCUAGGUUUAAAUAUCACCUCUUGGAAGCAGCUAGGUGGUACAGUGGAUAGAACACUGGCCCUAGAAUCCGGAGGAGCUCAAAUCCAGACACUUGGCAGUCACUAGCUAUGUGACCCUGAGCAGAUCACAACUCUGAUUGCCUCAUCAAAAAAUAAAAAGAAAGGAAGAAAGAAAGAAAGAAAGAAAGAAAGAAAGAAAGAAAGAAAGAAAGAAAGAAAGAAAGAAAGAAAGAAAGAAAAAAGAAAGAAAGAAAGAAAGAAAGAAAGAAAGAAAGAAAGAAAGAAAGAAAGAAAGAAAGAAAGAAAAGAAAAAGAAAAAGAAAAUAAAUCCCACCUCUAAUAACCUGUGCAUUCUCAGUUAAGUCACUUUAACCUCCCUGAGUCUGUUUCCUCAUAUCUAAAAUGAGGGAGUUGAAUUAGAUAGUCUCUAAGAUCACCUUUCUUUUAUCUUAUUUUUUCUCUUCUUGCUUGCUUGCUUUUUCUCUUUCUUUCUCUCUUCUUCCUUCCUUCCUUCCUUUUCUUUCUUCCUUUCCUUCUUUCUUGCUUUCUUUUUUUUCCUUUUUCUUUCUUUUCUUCUUUUCUCUGGCACAUUCUAAAAGAAUUUUCAAUAUCAGAUUCUCUUUUUCCUUUCCUCCCUAUCCCUUUCCUUGACAUGGCAAGUAAUUUGAUACAAAUAAUACAUGUGUAAGCAUGCAAAACAUAUUUCCCUAUUAGUCAUGUUGUGAAAGAAGACAUAGACCAAAAAAUAAAGAAUAUGAAAAAUA